rnacentral:lncRNA from 1 species
UUACAUUGCUGACGCGAGCGCAACGAGUCCCGUUGCUGUCAUGUUUAGAAUGAGGACCUUUUUCAUAUCUAUGUUAAAGUUGGACGACAAAAACAAAUCACUCCAUCGUCAUGUAUCACAUGUCAUCUUUUAUAAAAAAAACAUCGUUGUAUGUUUUCAAAGUAUUACAUACACGCAUGCACACUUAAGGCUCCCUUGGACUAUUGCAAACAUCGUUGUAUUUUUUAUCAAAGUAUUGCUUACGCAGACAUACUCACAUAUGUGCAUGCACACUUAUCCCUACAAACAUCUCCGAGAGGCUGAACAGACGUACAUGUUCAUAUAUACACACGCAACCCCAUCC